GAGUUAGCGGCGGACGGGUGAGUAACACGUGGGUAACCUGCCUUAUAGAGGGGGAUAGCCUUCCGAAAGGAAGAUUAAUACCGCAUAAGAAGUAGAAGUCGCAUGGCUUUAGCUUUAAAGGAGCAAUCCGCUAUAAGAUGGACCCGCGGCGCAUUAGCUAGUUGGUGAGGUAACGGCUCACCAAGGCGACGGUGCGUAGCCGACCUGAGAGGGUGAUCGGCCACAUUGGAACUGAGACACGGUCCAGACUCCUACGGGAGGCAGCAGUGGGGAAUAUUGCACAAUGGGCGAAAGCCUGAUGCAGCAACGCCGCGUGGGUGAUGAAGGUUUUCGGAUCGUAAAGCCCUGUCUUUUGGGACGAUAAUGACGGUACCAAAGGAGGAAGCCACGGCUAAAUACGUGCCAGCAGCCGCGGUAAUACGUAUGGUGCAAGCGUUAUCCGGAUUUACUGGGUGUAAAGGGAGCGUAGACGGCUGUGUAAGUCUGGAGUGAAAACCCGGGGCUCAACCCCGGGACUGCUUUGGAAACUAUGCAGCUAGAGUGUCGGAGAGGUAAGCGGAAUUCCUAGUGUAGCGGUGAAAUGCGUAGAUAUUUAGGAGGAACACCCGGUGGGCGAAGGCCGGCUUACUGGACUGUAACUGACGUUGAGGCUCGAAAAGCGUGGGGAGCAAACAGGAUUAGAUACCCUGGUAGUCCACACUGUAAACGAUGAUUACUAGGUGUGGGGGGUCUGACCCCUUCCGUGCCGCAGUUAACGCAAUAAGUAAUCCACCUGGGGAGUACGACCGCAAGGUUGAAACUCAAAGGAAUUGACGGGGGCCCGCACAAGCAGUGGAUUAUGUGGUUUAAUUCGAAGCAACGCGAAGAACCUUACCAGGUCUUGACAUCCAACUAACGAACUAGAGAUAGAUUAGGUGCCCUUCGGGGAAAGUUGAGACAGGUGGUGCAUGGUUGUCGUCAGCUCGCGUCGUGAGAUGUUGGGUUAAGUCCCGCAACGAGCGCAACCCCUGCCAUUAGUUGCUACGCAAGAGCACUCUAAUGGGACCGCUACCGACAAGGUGGAGGAAGGUGGGGACGACGUCAAAUCAUCAUGCCCCUUAUGACCUGGGCUACACACGUAAUACAAUGGCCGUUAACAGAAGGAAGCGAAGGCGCGAACCGGAGCAAACCCCCAAAAACGGUCUCAGUUCGGAUUGCAGGCUGCAACUCGCCUGCAUGAAGUCGGAAUUACAAGUAAUCGCGGAUCAGCAUGCCGCGGUGAAUA
rnacentral:rRNA from 1 species